rnacentral:rRNA from 1 species
UAGGGAAUCUUCGGCAAUGGACGAAAGUCUGACCGAGCAACGCCGCGUGAGUGAAGAAGGUUUUCGGAUCGUAAAACUCUGUUGUUAGAGAAGAACAAGGACGUUAGUAACUGAACGUCCCCUGACGGUAUCUAACCAGAAAGCCACGGCUAACUACGUGCCAGCAGCCGCGGUAAUACGUAGGUGGCAAGCGAUGUCCGGAUUUAUGGGGCGUAAAGCGAGCGCAGGCGGUUUCUUAAGUCUGAUGUGAAAGCCCCCGGCUCAACCGGGGAGGGUCAUUGGAAACUGGGAGACUUGAGUGCAGAAGAGGAGAGUGGAAUUCCAUGUGUAGCGGUGAAAUGCGUAGAUAUAUGGUGGAACACCAGUUGCGAAGGCUGCUCUCUGGUCAGUAACAGACGCUGAGGCUCGAAAGCGUGGGGAGCAAACAGG